UGGGAGCGACAAAUAAAGAUUGAUUGGUAAAGGAUGGGGAUGCGUCCCAUUAGCUUGUUGGCGGGGUAACGGCCCACCAAGGCGACGAUGGGUAGGGGUUCUGAGAGGAAGGUCCCCCACAUUGGAACUGAGACACGGUCCAAACUCCUACGGGAGGCAGCAGUGAGGAAUAUUGGUCAAUGGGCGGGAGCCUGAACCAGCCAAGUAGCGUGAAGGAUGACGGCCCUACGGGUUGUAAACUUCUUUUAUAAGGGAAUAAAGUUCGCCACGUGUGGUGUUUUGUAUGUACCUUAUGAAUAAGCAUCGGCUAAUUCCGUGCCAGCAGCCGCGGUAAUACGGAAGAUGCGAGCGUUAUCCGGAUUUAUUGGGUUUAAAGGGAGCGUAGGCGGGCUUUUAAGUCAGCGGUCAAAUGUCACGGCUCAACCGUGGCCAGCCGUUGAAACUGCAAGCCUUGAGUCUGCACAGGGCACAUGGAAUUCGUGGUGUAGCGGUGAAAUGCUUAGAUAUCACGAAGAACUCCGAUCGCGAAGGCAUUGUGCCGGGGCAUAACUGACGCUGAGGCUCGAAAGUGCGGGUAUCAAACAGGAUUAGAUACCCUGGUAGUCCGCACGGUAAACGAUGAAUGCUCGCUAUGGGCGAUAUAUUGUCCGUGGCCAAGCGAAAGCGUUAAGCAUUCCACCUGGGGAGUACGCCGGCAACGGUGAAACUCAAAGGAAUUGACGG
rnacentral:rRNA from 1 species